CCUANGGGAGGCUGCAGUCGAGAAUCUUCCGCAAUGGGCGAAAGCCUGACGGAGCGACGCCGCGUGGAGGACGAAGGCCUUCGGGUUGUAAACUCCUGUCACGAGUUAAGAAGGACUCAAUACGAACAGUGUUGAGUUUUGACGUAAGCUCGAGAGGAAGCACUGGCUAACUCUGUGCCAGCAGCCGCGGUAAUACAGAGAGUGCGAACGUUGUUCGGAAUUACUGGGCUUAAAGCGCACGUAGGCGGUGUCGUAAGUGUCAGGUGAAAUCCCACGGCUCACCCGUGGAACUGCCUGGCAGACUGCGACGCUAGAGUGUGGUAGGGGAGAGCGGAACUCCUGGUGGAGCGGUGAAAUGCGUAGAUAUCAGGAGGAACACCGGUGGCGAAGGCGGCUCUCUGGUCCACAACUGACGCUGAGGUGCGAAAGCUAGGGGAGCAAACGGGAUUAGAUACCCCANUANUC
rnacentral:rRNA from 1 species